GUGCUAGUGGAGCGGCGAAUAAUUGCAUUAUGGGCGGUGGUGGUGCGGUUACGGGCGGCGGCGGAGUUGGCGGCGGCGGUGCCAAUGGUUCCACUAGUAGCUGCGGUUGUGGAUGGAAGUGGCAACAGAGACACAUCAGACUUGUCUCUUCAGGGUUCGUCUUCUUCUUCGGAUGCUUCGUUUUGUUUGGAUCGAUUGCUACACUCUACGCUUGGUUAGCUUUUACCCCUCAGUAUGUCCGUACGGUAGGCGGUGUUUCAUCGCUGGGAUGUCAAGAAGAUAAUGAAGGUUCUUGGUCUAUUGGGGUCUUUUAUGGCGAUUCUCCUUUCUCCCUUAAACCCAUUGAAUCUGCGAAUGUAUGGAGGAACGAAAGUGCUGCCUGGCCAGUUGCUAAUCCUGUUAUCACUUGUGCUUCAGUUUCUAACGCUGGCUUUCCUAGUAAUUUUGUUGCUG
rnacentral:misc_RNA from 1 species